rnacentral:rRNA from 1 species
GUGCCAGCCGCCGCGGUAAUACGAAGGGGGCUAGCGUUGUUCGGAAUCACUGGGCGUAAAGCGCACGCAGGCGGAUUGAUAAGUCGGGGGUGAAAUCCCGGGGCUCAACCUCGGAAUUGCCUUUGAUACUGUCUGUCUUCGAGUUCGGGAGAGGUUGGCGGAAUUCCUAGUGUAGAGGUGAAAUUCGUAGAUAUUAGGAAGAACACCAGUGGCGAAGGCGGCCAACUGGCCCGAUACUGACGCUCAUGUGCGAAAGCGUGGGGAGCAAACAGGAUUAGAAACCCCUGUAGUCC